rnacentral:rRNA from 1 species
AGCCCUAAGAACUGAUUUAGGGUGAAACCUGCUCAAUGAAAAUUUUAAAUGGCCGCGGUACCUUGACCGUGCUAAGGUAGCAUAAUCAGUUGACUUUUAAAUGAAGUCUGGAAUGAAAGGAAUAACGGGAUUAAGCUUUAUUAAUCUUUUUCUUCUGAAUUUACUAAUUAGGUGAAAAGGCCUAAAAAUGAUAAAAGACGAGAAGACCCUUAGAGUUUUUCUUUAAGUUUUGUUGGGGCGACAUGGAAUCAUAUAACAUUCUUAAUAUUAUAAGACGGUUUUUACAUGAAUAAAUAAACUACCUGAGGGAUAACAGCAUAAUCUUUUUAGGUUUGUGACCUCGAUGUUGGACUAGGAAGCCUAUAGGCUAGCCGCCUAUAAGGGAGAUUCUGUUCGAAUUUUUACUCCU